UACGUAGGUGGCAAGCGUUGUCCGGAUUUACUGGGCGUAAAGGGCUUGUAGGCGGUUUGUUAAGUCUGGUGUGAAAUCUCCCGGCUCAACCGGGAGGGUCAUCGGAUACUGGCAGACUUGAGACGGGUAGAGGAAAGCAGAAUUCCCGGUGUAGCGGUGAAAUGCGUAGAUAUCGGGAGGAAUACCAGUGGCGAAGGCGGCUUGCCAGAAUGCGCUCGACGGUGAGGGAUGAAAGCUGGGGGAGCAAACCGG
rnacentral:rRNA from 1 species